ACUUUUUUCAUUGUAUUUAUAAUUAAACCAAUUUUUUCAUUAGAUUUAAAAAAAAAAUAGGAGAGACUACGAGAGGAUUGUAAGCCAAUUACAGUAUCCAUUUGCAUUCUUCUUCUUAUUUGAAAACUUUUGCCAUCCCUCGCACCAUCAUGCUUUGUUGUAGUUGUAAUUUCUUUAUUGUUUCUUUUUUUGUGAGCUAAAUACUCUAUUGCGGUUACGACAUCGCUCAUCUUGGCCUUGUUCCAGCUUCUUCUUGCAGACUCAUAUUGCUGCCACUGCAAGUUCUUUGGUGGUGUUUAGUUGGGAGGAGAGAAUAGAGGAAAAGAAAAUAAUUUAAUUUCUAUUUUUAUUUUCAUUGUUUGAUUGGGUAAAAUAUAUAAGAAUUUAAUUUUCAUUAUCAUUUAAUUUUUUAACUUGUUUAUUUAAUUAAAUUUAAUGAAUGAUUUAAGAAACUUAGCAAAAUAAAUAAACUUGUUUAUUUAUUUAUUUAAUAUGAAAAUAUAAAAAUAUAAAUUAACCAUUGUCGGAACUCUGACAGACCGUCGCCAUAUAGUCGCCCGAUAUCUGCGGGACCAUAGCCAAAACUCUAUUAGACCGUCGCUGGAACUCUGCCGGACCGACGUUUUAUAUAUAUAUAUAUAGUAAUUUUCCAAUCAGGGAUUCCUGACUUUAAUAAAGUAAGGGAUUAGUUAAAAGACGAAAUAAACACAGACUCCAAUGCACUGUAUUUUGUUAUAUAAUAUAUUAAAAUUUAAUUUUUUUGUCUUUUAGCUAAUCUUUGACUUUAAUCAAGUCAGGGAUUGAUAUUAUACAUACAUACAUACAUACAUACAUACAUACAUACAUACAUACAUAUAUAUAUAUAUAUAUAAGGACUUUUUAACAUUAAAAAAAUUUGGCAUUGAUAUUAAAUUGUAUUUCAUUAUUAAUAUAGAUAAUUUAGUAUUUAUAGAGAGUUUAGUAUUUAAGGUAAAGGAUAAAUUUGUCCAAAGAAAAAAAUUGUAAUUAUUUUUCCUAUUCAAUUUUAUGUCAAAUUAAAUAAUGAAAUUUAAUUUCAUUAUCCUCCUCUACUCCUUUAUUCCACUCUUUUCCUUCUCUUCCCCCCCUUUUUUUUAAUUAAUAACCACCAAAGAGGUGGGGGGUUAGGCAGGACUCCUACCUAUCAGAUAAAUCAAUAAAAAAGUAAUUACAUUAAGAGGGUAACAGAACCGAAAACCUCACAAAGAAGAUGUAAAUACAUAAAAAUAAAACAGAAAAUACACCAUCUAUUGAAACAAUAAAUCAACAAUCCUAUCGUCUGACAUGAGGGAAAGUUUGCGCAUCUAAAUGAAGAAUGCCAGAUAAGCCCGCAUGUAGAUCCUGAGCACACAAGAAAUGUCGGCUAACCCGGUGAGAGUAAGCCCAAUUGGCCAAAAAAUCAGCAGCAGAUGUAGCCUCCCGAAGCACAUGUCUAAUCACAAUGUGAAAGGAAGAUAUCAAAGGGCACACCCAACGUAAGAAGUAAAUAUAAUCCUAACGAACAAGGCCCUGGGAGUGAAUUCAAGAAACCACCGUGGUUGGGUUUGAUUCUACCUCAAGUGCAGAGUACCCACGUUGAGUAGCGAGCUCCAACCCCUCGCAAACAACCAUAAGCUCACCUUCUCCUCCCCUUUCUUUAAAUCAGACAUAGCCUUAGUACAAACCUUUUAUAAGGUAGUUCAUUUUUUACUUUCUUGGUGACAAAUACUUUGGACAAUGAAUUUUUAACUCAUUUGACAAUAUUAUAAAAAUUCACCCUGCCCCUGCCCCUCCCCCUCCCCCCGGUGUUGAUGUUUACUUGCGUAGUGACAGUAUGGGGACUGCGUUCCUUCGUAUUACUAAGCUUUAGCUUCUGCUAGGCUCGCUGUUGUGCAAAUUUUAAUGUACUCGCAAGCGCACGAAUCUAUUGUAGUAUAGAUCUAUGGUGACGAGUGUCGAUCCCACGAGGAGGUGGAUUUUAAUUGUGUAUAGAAUUAAUUUUGUAAAUGGGUUGUUGGAUUUAUGGUGGAAAUGAUUUGGUAUAUGCUAAAACUUAAAUUAAAAUGGCGAGAAUAAAUUCUAAAAUUGGAAUUGCAAUGGCGAGAAUAAAUUGAAGAUAAUUCUAUUGAAAUGACGUACUUGGGUAUCUGGAUCCGUAUCAACAUGCAUCAUGGGCUAAAUAAUCCGUAUUAAUGCCAAUUAAAUCAUGAGGGGGGAAUCCACACCUCAUGGACCACGCUCUAAUCAAUAUGGUGCUAAGGGCUUAUCGUGCCAAAUAAUAAUAACCUUAUACUAGAGAACCGGUGUAACCAAGGCGGUAUCUAGACAAGACUAUUAUUAUUUGUCGAUGAGAAGUCAAAACAUCCACAAAAUUUAGAGGGGAAGAGAAAAUAAAUUUACCAAAUUAAGCCCAUGACACAUGUUGAGACUUCACCUUCAACCCAAGCUUGAAAGAAAAUUAGCCACUCAUAGUUGAACUAGGGGUAAAAUGGGAAUUUAUUAAAAUACGAAGAAAAUACAAGAUGGAGAAGAAAUUACAUAAAAUGGAUCCCAAAAAUGGAUUCAGAGAUAUCAAAUUAGGGGGGGGAGACCCCCUUUUUAUAGAUACGUGGAGUAAAUCAUGGCCAUCGGAUUAAAAACAGUUUGGACGCUCAGGAUUGUGCCACGUCAUCAGUCAACAGUCCACGGUUUGACCACGCGGAUGAACAGUAACACGGUUUGACUCGGAUGAACAGUAACGCGGUUUGACUCGGAUGAACAGUAACGCGGUUUGACUCGGAUGAACAGUAACGCGGUUUGGUUGAAAAUAAUCCUGUGUGAUGCAUGUACCGUACGCGAGAUUUUUCAUCCACUGAUAUGCUGCCACGUCACCAUCAACAGUACAUAAGAAUUUUAGCCCAACAGGAUCGUGACACCUCAUCAGUCAAUGCCACAUCAUCGGUCAAUGCCACGUCAUCGAUCCGUCUAUGUGAACAGUGUUGUGAACAGUAACGUAGUUUGUACCGUACACGUGAAUAGUACCGUACAUAUGAAUAGUGCCAUUUUUCCUUUUAUGCUCCUCCUAAGGUUUUCGACUGUCCUGAGUUCAAAAGUGAUGUCCGUUUUGCCGUCUGAUCUCUCAUUUAUUGUGAAAUGACUAUAAUGCCCCUAAAAUACAUAAAAUACUUAAUUAAAAUAAAACACAUGUAAUUAAAUCACAAGAAGGUUAAAUACAUAAAAGUAAGGAUUGUUAGUAAGACUUGAAAUGUAAAAUGACGGUUUUCUCCUUUAUAAAUAUGCAUUUUUUAACACUCAACACACCCCCCAACCAGCUUAUUGCUAGUCCCUAGCAAAUAAAGCGAAAACAAAAUUCAAAUUCAAAAUAUUGUUUUUUUUUUUUUAAUAGAAACACCCGUAUUUAUUCCGUCAGAUUAAUGAUAGCAAUCAAAUAAAAGUAUAAGCAUUAUCUCCAGUCUAAAGCAACAUCACACCCACAUCAACCAUCCACAUGAAUCAGCCCAGUAGACUUUGUCAUAGCUACUUUCAAGAAUGACAUGUCAAACCCCAAAAUCUCACUGGAAGUAGUGACACUCUCACAAAGAAAUUAAAACCAAUAAAAAUAGUCACUCCAAUGAAUGGUAAUUGAGAGAGAAAAUAAUAAAGAAGUGAUAUCACAUGCUCUCACCAAGAUGAAAUAAAUAUGCCCUCAGCUUAGAAAUAAUACGAUCUCAAGUCAAACAAAAUUGCUAGUCAACCCAAUUUAUUUAUCUUUUUUUUUUAUUAUGCAUCACUACAUUUUUUUAGCCCAUAUAACUAGCUUCUACUUCAAACUAUAGUUCCCUAAAAUCAAGAAGGACUUUUAUUUGGACGUAACGUAGGCUAGGGAUAUGGUUAACAAAGAAAGGAAAUAAGGAAAACAAAGUGUAUGUUUGAGAAAAAUGCAGAGAAUUUUUUUUUUUUUUGGAAGUUGCAAGGUGGAUUUCACCUAUUAUUGUUAUUUUUAUUCUUUUGAAACAACAACUUUUGUUUUGUUGUUUUUUUUUUUUUUGCUAUAACUUCACUGAACAACAUAAUUAUUUACAUUUUCUCAAACAUAAAUAGGUGAUGUAACUUAUAAGAUAUUGGGUAAUACUCCAAAUCGGAGUGGGUCAAGAUGAUAAGUUGACAAAGAAAAUAUAUAUUUUUUUUAAAGGCUCAAAAGGGUUAACUAUGGAUAUUUAAUAAAAGGGGUGGCUAGAAAGGCUCAAACGGAUCAAAGAUGGCCUUUCCAUCGUCUUUUAGAGCUCUAAAUAACCUUCCAUAUCUACUAGUUAGAUGGGCCUCCAAAUGUAGCAACACACUUUUUUUUCUUUUUUUUUAUUUUUAUUUUUAUUAAGGGUUAACUCAAAAGAAAUCUAGAGAUCGUGUAUACAAUAAUAAACUGUUAAGCUGUAUAAAGAAUGAGCAAAAGGGUUACUCUCCAAGAAAAAUGAUAAGCUCAAAAACUCACUUGGUACUUAUUAUGACAUGUUCAUUCCUUCAAGCAACUCACAUUUGUCUCCGACAUCAACAUGUAAAGUAGCAAACAUAGCGUAACAUCACUUAAGACCAAAGAUAAUACAAAUACUAAAAUUUGAAAUUAUCAUGUCAUCCAAAACAAAUCAAAUUUUUUAAUUUUGUUUUUUUUGUAAACAACAUUCUACCCCCCAACCUAUUCUAAACAUGAAAGGGAAAAUAUGCAUGCAGAAAUGGGGAAAAUGAUGCAUAAAAACUAAUUAGGAAAAGUUACACGUAAAAUGAUAGAAAACGAAAANNNNNNNNNNNNNNNNNNNNNNNNNNNNNNNNNNNNNNNNNNNNNNNNNNNNNNNNNNNNNNNNNNNNNNNNNNNNNNNNNNNNNNNNNNNNNNNNNNNNAAACGAAAAUGAUUUUUUUUUUUUAAAGAAGAUGCGUUUCUAGAGGAACUACACUCCAUAUUCAGCCAUCUUCGACUCAAAAGUUGGAAAAUGUAUAUUUAUAGAGGAGAAAUUAAAAAGAAGAAAAAUAAACAUAAACACAUAAUAAAGAAAAAGAAAAUGUCUACAUCUUUUUUUUAAGUUUUUUUUUAAAUUUUUUUUAAACGAUGAAGAUGCGUUUCUAGAGUCACUACACUCCAUAUUCAGCCAUCUUCAACACAAAAAGUUAGCAACAGUUAGUUUCUACAACAAAAAAUUAGUAAAAACUUAACCAAAAUUCCACAAUUGUCGACUAUUCCCUCCCCCUAACCAGAACGAAACAUUGUCCUCAAUGUUUGAAAUGAAAGAAGUAGAGUUUAGAAGACAUCACCUGGGUGGUGCAACACAGAAAAUAAUAUUUACAAGCGGAGAGUUAAAUCUAAUUUGUACUUCUUACUGCGGCUACUGUUACCAUCAUUAUGUGGAUACUCCAACACAAAGGUCCAGAGGUCUGGCUCCGGUUUAUAAGCUUGUAACAGAUCAAGUAGCUCAUUAGCAGUGUGAGCACAAAUAAAGAGUUUUUUCACAUUAGCGGGAAUGAAAUAGUUUUUUAUUGCAUGGUUAAGAAAUGCGAUAAAGCCAUCAUAAAAGUUAUUGACAUUUAACAAACCGAUGAGUUUUUGGUGGAUGUGCAGAUGGGCCCAAGAUGCUAGCGUGAUAAGUGCCUCUAGUGUUGCAAGAUCUCCUGGAAGGAAAAUAAAAGCAUCAGCAUGAUUAAGCAUUUCAGUUAUUCUUUCUUGCAUACCUGAGACGACUAACUCUUCUCCAGUUGAUGAGUCAGACGAACUGCCCAAUGGUUUUAAGACUCUUGGGAUGAUGCCUAACACUUGACUUCCUCUGAUAAAAGCUGCUUCUGAGACCAUUUUUGAUAACCCUCGAUUACCUCCUCCAUACACCAAGUGUAAUUUUCUCGCUGCUAUGCUUCGACCAAGAUCUAUGGCUGCCUCAACGAACUCUUUAUGUUUGCCAUAUGUAAAUCCAGAAAGCACACAAAUGUUCUUGAAUUGUCUAUUGGGAGUAGCUGCCAUUGUGAUACUUCGCAAAAAUAAUUUGUGAGUGAUUGACAAAGAAAAUCACAUUUAAGAGUCUUGGUGAUAGUGGGUCAUAGUUGUGUAUGAGGUCACAUGUCCAUGUCAAAUAACGCGUAAAGCACGUGGCUCGCGAGUCAAAAAGAAAACAGGAAAAAGGGAAAAGCAAACAGUAAUAAGGAAAAAGCAAACAGUAAUAAAAUUAUUCAAGACAAUAAUGCAAACAAUAAGACAAUAGUGAAAUAAAAUAACAAUAAAGUAAAAGGAUAUUUACAGGUAGUUGCGACUGUGGCUCACAUCUUCCUCUGGUUUUACGUCCAGAAACGGCUUGAACGUCCUCUAUGGGUCGAGGAUAGGCUUCCUAUCCAGUUUUCUUAUAAACUGGCAAACAGGGUCGUUUAUAGUCAGAUUCCCGAGACUAUAUCGCGCAUGCUCUUUCUGAAAUAAUGACCAUAACUGGAGAAUCGCUCCUUGCACAUAUCCACUGGGAUGCGUUUCAAGAGACAAAAGGAUAUCAUCCAAUGACUCCUUAUUCAAGCCAUCCCUAAUGAAUUGAAUCUUAUCUUCCCUGUUAUCAGACAUCAUUCCUAAAGAACAUGGGUUUUUAUUGCAACUCAUUCUGGCACACUUAUGACAAGCAACAGAAAUUCUUCGAGCUCGUCGUUUUCUUGCAUAAUUUCCUUUACCACAACCAGGCAUGUAUGCAAUAAAUUUUGGAGGUAACUCACCUGCCGAUCGUACUUUAGCCUCGAUUAACCAACGGAUAUCAGCAGGUAUGUUAUUCCUCAUGAGUAAUCGCAUGCGUUCGGACCGAGCUUUAUAGAUCGUAAGGAGUGCAUUCUGAGGAAGUGAAGGGAAUCGCUUGUGAAGCUUCGCUAGAAUCUCGUUUCUGUCCAUACAUUCGCCUCAGAAUAUCAGUUAUUAUGGGAAACUGAAGUAACCGACUUGAUUAUCACGGAGUACCGUUAUCCGCCACUUCACCGGGGUAACAAACUAAAGCACACAAAUAGAAAAACAAAUUAAAACACACAAAGAAAAUUAAAAUCGUCCUCUUAUUGAAUUUACCUCAAGCUCCAACUGGAUGUCGUAAACACUUCUCUCAAUGUCUCUGAGUUGGCGUUCUAAACCCUCAACAUAGGUUACUAACUCUGGUGGUUGUAGAGCCCAAAUGCGUUGUGUUUUACAAAAUUGAAUCUGCCUUUUGAGAUGAGUUUUGACACGUUGAAGUGGUUUAAGAAUGUUCAGGAGGAACGGUCUAAGUAUGAGACUCAUGAUUAAAAAUGAUAAGAGAAAACUUAAUGGUAAAAUAAACACACUUAUGCAAAAACAAUUUCAAUUAGCAAAAGAAUAAUAAUAAAAAGAAAGAAAGAAAAAUCAAAUCAACGAAAAGAAAAAAAAUCAAUUCAAAUUUGGUGGGUCACUCAAAUUUAUUUCGGUGUCUUUUUCAUGUGGUUGGUACUCUAGAUAUGACUUUAAUUUUUGACCAUUAACUUUAAACGUGACACCGUUCUUUGGGUCUUUAAUUUCAAUUGCCUCAUGUGGAAAAACAGUAUGAACAAUAAAUGGGCCAGACCAACGAGAGCGUAACUUACCUGAGAAUAGGUGCAGGCGAGAAUUGAAUAAAAGCACUUUCUGACCUGGAGUGAACGAUUUUCUCAUAAUUUGCUUAUCAUGGAAGACUUUCAUUCGUUGCUUGUAAAUCUUGGCAUUUUCGUACGCGUCAUUGCGAAUUUCUUCAAGUUCUGCCAGCUGUAAUCUUCUUUCUGAGCUGGCUUGCUGCAUGUCAAAGUUGAAUUUCUUGAUGGCCCAAUAUGCACGAUGCUCAAGUUCCACAGGUAGGUGGCAAGCUUUUCCAUACACUAGCCUGUAGGGUGACAUCCCAAUCGGGGUCUUGAAAGCCGUUCUAUAUGCCCAUAAUGCAUCAUCAAGUCUUAAUGACCAAUCUUUCCUGUAUGGCCUCACCGUUUUUUCUAAUAUGUGCUUUAUUUCUCGAUUGGAUAUCUCAACUUGGCCACUGGUUUGCAGAUGAUACGGAGUUGCCACUUUGUGUGUGAUUGAAUACUUUGUCAAAAGAGCUUUGAAUGCUUUGUUACAAAAGUGGGCACCACCAUCACUGAUUAUCGCUCGAGGGAAUCCAAAGCGUGAAACAAUGUUGCUUUUCAAAAAUGCUAUCACCACCUUGUGAUCAUUGGUUCUACAUGGAAUUGCUUCUACCCAUUUCGAUACGUAGUCAACACUAACCAAUAUGUAUUGAUGGCCAAAAGAAAGGGGAAAGGGUCCCAUGAAGUCGAUACCCCAUACGUCAAAAAUUUCUACCACUAAAAUUGGAUUUAAUGGCAUCAUGUUCCUUCGUGUAAUGCUCUCCAUUCGUUGACACCUAUCACAUGAAGAACAGAACGUGUAAGCGUCUCGAAAUAUAGUUGGCCAAUAGAAACCACAUUGUAAAACUUUAGUCGCUGUUUUCUUAGCACUGAAAUGGCCUCCACAAGCUUGUUCAUGGCAGAAUGAAAGAAUAUUCUGAAUUUCAUUUUCUGGGACACAUCGUCUAACAAUUUGGUCUGCACAAUACUUGAACAAAUACGGGUCAUCCCAAAAGAAAUUCUUUAUCUCUGCAAAGAAUUUAGCCUUGUCUUGCUUGGUCCAAUGCUCUGGAAGUUUACCUGUAACAAGAUAAUUAACUAUAUCAGCAUACCAAGGUAAUACUUCCACAUUCAUUAAUUGUUCAUCUGGAAAUGACUCAUUCAAUGGUAAUGAUUCUGUAAUUGUGUCAAAAUGGAGUCGAGAGAGGUGGUCUGCCACAACAUUUUCUGUCCCUUUCUUAUCUUUGAACGAAUUAGUCUAGCUUUUGCAUCUUUCUUUGUGAUAAGAUAUUUAAGAGCAGCAUGAUCUGUGAACACGAUUAUUUUACAACCAAUGAGAUAAGAUCGAAAUUUCUCCAAUGCAAACACUACUGCUAGCAUUUCUUUUUCAGUAGUUGAAUAGUUCAACUGUGCAUCAUUCAAUGUCAUACUAGCAUAGUAAAUAACGUGGGGAAUUCGAUCAACUCUUUGUCCUAAUACUGCUCCUACUGCAUAAUCAGAUGCAUCACAUAUGAGCUCAAAUGGUAAGCUCCAGUUAGGGGCCUGAAUGAUAGGUGAUGAUGUCAACAAAUGCUUUAAUUUUUCAAAUGCCACAAGACAUGAAUCAUUAAAGACAAAAGGUGCAUCCUUAGCAAGUAAAUUGCAUAAGGGUCUAGAAACUUUGCUAAAAUCUUUAAUGAAACGUCUAUAGAAACCAGCAUGCCCAAGGAAAGAUCUUACUUCUCUGACUGUUUUGGGUGGAGGAAGAUUAGAAAUGAGAUCCACCUUGGCUUUGUCAACCUCAAUACCUUUGCUCGAAAUGAUGUGACCGAGAACAAUACCUUGUUUUACCAUAAAAUGGCAUUUCUCUCAAUUUAAGAUCAAGUUCUUCUCGAUACAUCUCUGUAGAACUAGUGUUAGAUGAUGUAAACAUUGAUCAAAUGAGUCACCAAAGACAGAAAAAUCAUCCAUAAAGACUUCAAGGAAUCGUUCAACCAUAUCAGAAAAAAUGCUCAACAUGCAUCGUUGAAAUGUAGCAGGUGCAUUACAUAAUCCAAAUGGCAUUCUCCUAUAUGCAAAUGUGCCAAAAGGGCAAGUGAAAGUAGUUUUCUCUUGAUCUUUUGGUGCUAUGGGAAUCUGAUUAUAUCCUGAGUAGCCAUCUAGAAAGCAAUAAAAUUCAUGGCCUGCUAAUCUAUCAAGCAUUUGAUCAAUAAAUGGUAAAGGAAAAUGGUCUUUAUGUGUGACAGAAUUCAAUUUUCUAUAAUCAAUGCAUACACGCCAUCCUGUAGUUACUCUAGUGGGUAUCAAUUCAUUAUCAGCAUUGGUAACUACUGUGACUCCUGACUUUUUGGGGACGACUUGUACAGGACUGACCCAUGAACUAUCAGAAAUUGGGUAAAUGAUACUUGCAUCUAAUAACUUAAGGACUUCAAUUCUAACAACUUCUUUCAUAUUAGGAUUUAACCGACGUUGCAUUUCCCUAGUAGAUUUAGCAUUUUCAUCGAGGUGAAUGUAAUGCAUGCAGUCUACUGGAUUUAUACCUUUUAUAUCUGCUAUGGUCCAUCCUAAUGCUCCUUUGUGCUCUUUUAAAACAUCCAACAACUUACCUUUUUGUUCGUCAUUGAGGUAUGAUGAGAUGAUUACCGGUAGAGUACUUUCUUCCCCCAAAAAUGCAUAUUCCAAAGUGUUGGGUAAUGGUUUGAGCUCGAGUUUCGGUGGUGAUUCUGAUGAUGGGAUGAGUUUCUUCUCUGAUGGUGCUAGUUGUUCAACUCUUGACUUCCAUUUAUUAGUGUCCAUAGAUGGUGCUGAGUCAAGCAGGGCAUUGACCUCAUCGAGCGAUCUGUCAAUAUCAAAAUCAAAACCAAAGUGAGUUAAACAUGUUUGUAAAGGAUCAUCACUAAGGUUUGAAAGAAAAGUGUUAUCAACUAUUGUUUCAAUUAAAUCCACAUCAACAAUUCCAUCAUCUGCAUUGUAAGGUUGUUUGGCAAUGUUGAAGAUGUUCAGCUCCAUAGUCAUGUUGCCGAAGGACAACUGCAUAUUUCCAGUCCUACAUUGAAUGUGAGCAUCCGCAGUUGCCAAGAAAGUUCGGCCUAGAAUAAUGGGGAUGUGCUUCCUUGAAUCCUAUAUUGGUUGAGUGUCAAUUACAAUGAAAUCAACAGGAAAAUAAAACUUGUCUACCUGGAUAAGCACGUCCUCCACAAUACCACGAGGUAUUUUCGUGGACCGAUCUGCAAGCUGUAAUACCACUGGAGUUGGGUGUAAUUCUCCAAGUCCAAGUUUCACAAAUACAGAAUAAGGCAACAAAUUUACACUAGCUCCUAAAUCCAACAAAGCAUUCUCAAUUGUGUGGUUCCCUAUACUACAUGAGAUAGUGGGGGAGCCUGGGUCUUUGCAUUUUAAAGGAAUUUUAUGUUGGAGUAUAGAACUAAUGUUUUCUGUUAAAAAUGCCUUCUUUUGAACAUGCAUAUUUCUCUUUUUAGUACAAAGGUCUUUAAGAAACUUGGCAUAAGAUGGAACUUGUUUAAUAGCAUCUAGCAAAGGGAUGUUAACACUUACCUGUUUGAAUAAUGGGGAAUCUCACCUGUGGAUUUUCCCUUCUUUCCUUUCACUAACCUCUGAGGAAAUGGAGCUUUAGGAACAUAUUCUCGUGGGUUGGUUUCUUCUUUUUCCUCCGGUGGUGAGUCCUCAACAUUCACAGGUACGAUUUGAUUUUCUUUUGUCACCGGCAUCUCCACUUUGUUGUCGACUUCUUUUCCUUUUCGCAAGGUCAUGACUGCUUUGACUUCUCCAUGCUGCUGUGGUGAACUGGUACUUGCUUCAUGCACUCCUUUAGGGUUAGGCACUGGUUGACUUGAAAACUUACCUUUCUCAACGGUCAUUGCCAAGGUCUGAACUGAAGAAGCAAGUUGUCCCACCAUCUUCUCGAGGCUUGAAACUGAUUGGGCUUGUGAGUUGAAGCCCGCUCUCAACUCAUUUCGUAGUCCAUCAAUGGUGCGGUUCUGUUGCUCAAUCGUGGAGUGAGUAACAUUCCUGAAAUUCUGGAAUGCAUCCUCCCAUGGUCUAGGUUGAGAGUGGUUCUGGUUUUGAUUGUAUGGUCUAAAUAGGGGCUGAGAGGCUUGAGGAUUUUGAGGAAUUGGUGGAGCUGGAGCUGCUGGUCCAUUCUGUUGGAAUCCUUGAGACCAUGAAAAAUUGGGGUGGUCUCUCCAUCCAGGGUUAUAUGUGUUGGAGUAUGGGUUGUAAUUUGAUGGCUUUCUCAUUACACCUAUGGCAUUGGCUUGAUCUGAGUAUGAGUCAUGGUCAUGUGGUUCUGUUGAUUUAGCAGUCGAUAACGAUGCUAUUUGUCGAGCAAGACCUUCAACCAUCUCCUUGACUUCUUUGAUUCCCGAAGUUGACUCGCCAAUUUGAACCUCAUUUACUCCCUUAAUUCGUCUAGUAUUCCUGAGUGAUCGACUCCGUUGUUGGGAAUUAUCCGCUUGUCGCUGGAAGAAUUCCCAAAUCUCUGAUGCACUUUUUGACAUUAGCUCUCCUCCACUUGUUGCCAUUAGCCAUUCUUGCACAUUCGGCAAUAAUCCCUCCAAAAAGUAUUGGCAUUGGUGCCAUUUCUCAUACCCAUGAUGUGGACACUUCAAGAGUAGCCCAUUGAAUCGCUCCCAUGUCUCGAAAAACUGCUCGUCCUCUCUCUGAGUAAACUCUGAGAUUUCCCUGCGAAUAGCAUUGAUUUUAUGCACUGGGAAAUAUUUAUUUAAAAAUUUAGUUACCAUUUGUUCCCAUGAUGCAAUGCUAUUAGCAGGUAAUGUAUUAAGCCAUGAACGAGCUCUAUCUUUUAAAGAAAAUGGGAAUAAUCUGAGUUUAACAUCAUCAUCUGAAAAAUUCUCAUAUUUAAAUGUUUGACAAAUUGCAUGAAAAUCAUUCAAAUGAUUAUAUGGGUCCUCAUUUUCUAGGCCAUAGAAUGUGGGGAGACAAUUUAGCACACUAGGUUUUAGUUCAAAACUCCUAGCAGCUACAUUUGGGUAUCUUAUGCAUGAUGUGCUCAAAUUAGCUAAGGGACUAAAAUAGUCCUUAAAUGGCCUCUCCUGUGGUGCUUGUAAAUUUUAUUUUUUACUUGUUUGUGUGUGCGAAGUGUUUUCUCAAGUUCAAGGUCUAUAGGUUCAAGAUUGGGUAAUAAUGACCUACGACCAUGCAUGCAAAACAAAUAAAAUAAAAAUAGAGAUGGGAACAAAACAAAUAAAAAUAAAAAAGAGGGAGAAAUUACGAUACUAACCUUAUUGCGCUAUUACAACCUUUCUAUAAAAAUACACAAAAACAAAUACGUGAAAUAAAUUAAAUAAAAAUAAAUUAAUAAGAUAAAAAAAAUUAAAAAGAAAAAUAAAUUAAAAAAUAAAUUACAGAAUUUUAAAGAAGAGAAAAAAUAAAAGAAAUACUAACCUUUAAAUGUAGAUUCACUUUUUUUUCUUUUUUUUUAAUUAAAAAAAAAUACAAGAAAACAAAUAAAAGAAAUUAUUCACAAAAAUUAAUUAUGAAUUAAAAUUACUUACCUCCCCGGCAACGGCGCCAAAAACUUGUUGUGCAAAUUUUAAUGUACUCGCAAGCGCACGAAUAUAUUGUAGUAUAGAUCUAUGGUGACGAGUGUCGAUCCCACGAGGAGGUGGAUUUUAAUUGUGUAUAGAAUUAAUUUUGUAAAUGGGUUGUUGGAUUUAUGGUGGAAAUGAUUUGGUAUAUGCUAAAACUUAAAUUAAAAUGGCGAGAAUAAAUUCUAAAAUUGGAAUUGCAAUGACGAGAAUAAAUUGAAGAUAAUUCUAUUGAAAUGACGUACUUGGGUAUCUGGAUCCGUAUCAACAUGCAUCAUGGGCUAAAUAAUCUGUAUUAAUGCCAAUUAAAUCAUGAGGGGGGAAUCCACACCUCAUGGACCACGCUCUAAUCAAUAUGGUGCUAAGGGCUUAUCGUGCCAAAUAAUAAUAACCUUAUACUAGAGAGCCGGUGUAACCAAGGCGGUAUCUAGACAAGACUAUUAUUAUUUGUCGACGAGAAGUCAAAACAUCCACAAAAAUUAGAGGGGAAGAGAAAAUAAAUUUACCAAAUUAAGCCCAUGACACAUGUUGAGACUUCACCUUCAACCCAAGCUUGAAAGAAAAUUAGCCACUCAUAGUUGAACUAGGGGCAAAAUGGGAAUUUAUUAAAAUACGAAGAAAAUACAAGAUGGAGAAGGAAUUACAUAAAAUGGAUCCCAAAAAUGGAUUCAGAGAUAUCAAAUUAGGGGGGGAGACCCCCUUUUUAUAGAUACAUGGAGUAAAUCAUGGCCAUCGGAUUAAAAACAGUUUGGACGCUCAGGAUUGCGCCACGUCAUUAGUCAACAGUCCACGGUUUGACCACGCGGAUGAACAGUAACGCGGUUUGACUCGGAUGAACAGUAACGCGGUUUGGUUGAAAAUAAUCCUGUGUGAUGCAUGUACCGUACGCGAGAUUUUUCAUCCACUGAUAUGCUGCCACGUCACCAUCAACAGUACAUAAGAAUUUUAGCCCAACAGGAUCGUGACACCUCAUCAGUCAAUGCCACAUCAUCGGUCAAUGCCACGUCAUCGAUCCGUCUAUGUGAACAGUGUUGUGAACAGUAACGUAGUUAGUACCGUACACGUGAAUAGUACCGUACAUAUGAAUAGUGCCAUUUUUCCUUUUAUGCUCCUCCUAAGGUUUUCGAAUGUCCUGAGUUCAAAAGUGAUGUCCGUUUUGCCGUCUGAUCUCUCAUUUAUUGUGAAAUGACUAUAAUGCCCCUAAAAUACAUAAAAUACUUAAUUAAAAUAAAACACAUGUAAUUAAAUCACAAGAAGGUUAAAUACAUAAAAGUAAGGGUUGUUAGUAAGACUUGAAAUGUAAAAUGACGGUUUUCUCCUUUAUAAAUAUGCAUUUUUUAACACUCAACACUCGCCUUCUUUAUAAAAAAAAUAUUAUAAAAAUUCAUUUCGCACUUUAACAAAAUGUAGGACCUCUUAUUAAAAAAUGCACUACAUAUAUAGCGUACUUGUAUGGUUUAGAAUCUUAAAUUUUAUGAAAAUCUAAAAAAACUAUUAUGACAGUCUUGAUGGAACGACGGUUUCCCUUUAAGGCCAUUCCAUAAGGAUUGCCGCCCUUCGUUUUCCACGUGUUAUCCAUAUGAUCCGUCCCUAUAGUGUUAUCCUCAUCACAUCUGUACGAUCCAUUUCGCUAUCUCUCUCGUUCUCUCACUUGUAUAUAUAAUUGAUACAAAGAACAAGCUGUACGUAGAUGUCCUUCAAUAUCCUUGGUUUUAAUUGUCUUAGUAUUAUAAUGUCCGUUCCUUGCAUCCUUCUACGAGUUCUAAACGAAGUUGGCAUAAUUAUAAGAAUCUUAAUAAUGGUAACGUUAAUCGAUCGACGGGGUCAGGAAAAAGAAUAGAAUAGAUUAUUUAAUUUCCAACAGCUUAAUUUUGUCUCUCCGCGAAUAUAAUAAUCACAUUUAUUCUACUACUUUUGUGCCUAUUGCUUAUUUUAUCCGCGAAUAUAAUAAUCACACGUUUUUAAAGUAAAGGAGAUUUUGGAAGAAGGCUGUACGGUUUGGAAAGAGGUUUUGAUUGAUAUAUAAAAAAAAAAAAAAAAGAGUGAAUUUACUCCAAGGCCUUUGGCGCAACUAUACAUAACAUAGAAAUUACACUUGAAAAGGGUGAAUAAUCAAUUAAAGCAGCGGGUGCUACAACCGACCGUAAAAGAGAGGAAAUCCGCCACAUUUCCUUCUGAAAAGGUCCUUGAUUUUAUCCAAAAGCGUGCAGUGCCUAAGCCCAAAGCCUUUUGCUAUUUUGUUGAUUACUACUGCCCGUGACAGGCCAAUCCUUGGUCACUCUCAUGACUAAGGUUUUGUCUGGCCGCCACAAUCAUUAAAACAUGAGGGAAAAUAAAUGGGAAAUUAUCAAUUUUUCAUCUGAUUGGUAAAAAUGCAAAAAUAAUUGAAAAUUUUAGAACUUAUCAAU
rnacentral:lncRNA from 1 species